rnacentral:rRNA from 1 species
UACGUAGGGUGCGAGCGUUUAAUCGGAAUUACUGGGCGUAAAGUGUGCGCAGGCGGCCGCGCAAAGCGAGUGUGAAAUCCCCCGGCUUACCCGGGGACCUGCAUCCCCAAACUGCGCGACUAGUAUGGGAGGAGGAUGAGGAAUUCCCGGUGUAGCGGUGAAAUGCGCAGAUAUCGGGAGGAACACCAAUUCGAAGGCAGCUC